AACGUAGGAUCCGAGCGUUAUCCGAAUUUACUGGGCGUAAAGCGCGUGUAGGCGGUCCGGUAAGUUGGAUGUGAAAUCUCCCGGCUCAACUGGGAGAGGACGUUCAAUACUGCCGGGCUAGAGGACGGUAGAGGGAGGUGGAAUUCCCGGUGUAGUGGUGAAAUGCGUAGAGAUCCGGAGGAACACCAGUGGCGAAGGCGACACGCUGGGCCUGGCCUGACGCUCAGACGCGAAAGCAUGGGGAGCGAACGGGAUUAGAUACCCGCGUAGUCC
rnacentral:rRNA from 1 species